GAGUUUGAUCCUGGCUCAGGAUGAACGCUAGCUACAGGCUUAACACAUGCAAGUCGAGGGGCAGCAUGGUCUUAGCUUGCUAAGGCCGAUGGCGACCGGCGCACGGGUGAGUAACACGUAUCCAACCUGCCGUCUACUCUUGGACAGCCUUCUGAAAGGAAGAUUAAUACAAGAUGGCAUCAUGAGUCCGCAUGUUCACAUGAUUAAAGGUAUUCCGGUAGACGAUGGGGAUGCGUUCCAUUAGAUAGUAGGCGGGGUAACGGCCCACCUAGUCUUCGAUGGAUAGGGGUUCUGAGAGGAAGGUCCCCCACAUUGGAACUGAGACACGGUCCAAACUCCUACGGGAGGCAGCAGUGAGGAAUAUUGGUCAAUGGGCGAGAGCCUGAACCAGCCAAGUAGCGUGAAGGAUGACUGCCCUAUGGGUUGUAAACUUCUUUUAUAAAGGAAUAAAGUCGGGUAUGGAUACCCGUUUGCAUGUACUUUAUGAAUAAGGAUCGG
rnacentral:rRNA from 1 species